rnacentral:tRNA from 1 species
AGGCACAUGCUCACGCACAACGGCUUCGGCCCGUUUUCCAGAAGAAAAUCCUUCUUGUGUCUU